AAUUCGUGACCAUUUUUGUUCCUUUUUUUCACAGAAUCGCAGAAUGGUUGGGGUUCGAAGGGACCUCUGGAGAUCAUCUGGUCCAACCCCCCCGCUCAAGCAUGGUCACCUAGAGGAGACUGCCCAGGACUCUGUCCAGACAGCUUUUGAAUAUCUCCAAGGAUUUGCUACUGAAGUAGCUGCAAGGUGGUGUGUGCCAGUAUUCCUAUGCCUCCGAGCAGUCCUGGGGACAGUGCCUGAAUUUCAUCUGUCGAUACUUGCGGGAUUUUUUGAUGAUGUAAACUUCCCACUCUGCAUCUAUGAAGGAAUAUUGCUGAUGAAUCCCGUGCUGCCGUUCUGGGAAACUCAGCGUAUGUGGUGAGUGGUGUUCUCUGUGGCCGUGGCUCACAGACCUGCUGUGCCAGUGGCCCGCAGGAAACACAUCUCCCCACUUACAUUGCAGCUUGUUUCCUGGGACGUGGCAUUGCUUUGYCCUCUUCUCCAACCCACAGGAGAUUCACUCUCUCAUAACUUUCCAGCUCCGCUGGAUAUUGCUAACACAYUGGGACAGAUGGAGCACUGUUCCUGGAAUGCAGAUGUCUUGUAAGUGAAAAACAUGGAUAAAAAUAAUACUCCAAAAUAAUCAAGAAACAAACAUCUACUGUGUCUGUCAAAUUUGCACUUUGGAGAAUAAAUGUGUGCCCAGCAAUAGAUACA
rnacentral:lncRNA from 1 species